rnacentral:lncRNA from 1 species
GUUACCAGCAAGUUGAAGGAGAUGAGGCCAUACCUGGAGUGCUGUGUACAGUGCUGGUCCCCCAGUGUGAGAGAUUCCUGGGUAUACUGGAGAGAGUUCAACAGCAGGCCAUGAAAAUGAUGAAGGGCCUGGUGCUCCUCUUCAGUAAGGAGAAGCUGAGAGAGCUGUGCACCCUACAGCCUGGAGAAGAGGAGGCUUAGCAGGAUCUCAUCGAUGACUAUAGAUACUUGCAGGGAAAGUGCGAAGAGGGUGGAGCCAGACUCUUUUCAGUUGUGCCCAGUGCCAGGACAAGAGGCAAUGGGCACAAACUGGAACACAGGAAGUUUCUGCUGAACAUCAAGAUGCACUUCUGUACUGCAUGGACAGCUGAACACUGACACAGGUUGUCUCAGCAGACUGUAGCAUCUCCAUCCUUGGAGAUAUUCAAAAGCUACAUGGACACAGUCCUGCUUGAGCAGUGAGGGUGUACCAGAUGAUCUCUGGAGGUCCAGCCUCAACCAUUCUGUGAUACUGUAGUCUUCAUCACUAAGAAGAAGUUAGAUAGCACCCAAUGAGCCUGGCCCAAUCAGCCUGACUUGUGGUUGAUUUCCACAGUUUAGAAAAGUGAAAAGUUUGUGGUAACUGAAAUAACUACUGGAGAGUGUCUUUGUCUCCUAAGACAAUCUGACUGCCUGGAGAGAAAUGGGCUGCCACACUUCAGUGUGUGUGGAUCCCAUCACUGUACUGGAAACCAUGUAUGAGAGACCUAGCUAAUCUUACCAGUGGGGAUACUGGAAGUAGCCGUUACUCAGUCAACAAGCUAGAUUAUUAUGUUUCAAAGAGACAAAGGUUUCUGAGAGCCACAAGCACUCUAUUGCUAGUGAGCUGAAAUGUAAGCUUGGGAAUUUAAUUGAUGUCAUGUUAUUUUUUUAAAGAAUUGGGUCAAGUGCCAGAACUUUUAUACAGGGAGUACUUUGAGUCAUUGCCAUCCCUGGGCAGGCUCCAAGCAGUGAUUUUUAAUAGGAUUUUGGGCUAGUGAGCCAGUGAUAAAUAAGCUUCCAUGAGUUUCUAUGUACUUCUUUCUGCCUUGCAGUUUCAUUUACCUGAGCCAGUUCUUGAACCAGCCAAUUUUCAGACAUGAUCUCAGUUCAGAUUGGUGUUGGGAAAACAAGGAAACUACAGAAUAAAAAUUCAGCAGUGAAGGAGAUAGACUGAAAGCUUCUCAGCUCCGUUGACUGUAGAAUGCCUAGGAAGAUCCAUACACAAUAAAAGGACUGGUGACAGGAUGAAACCCUAUGGAAUUGCAUAUAUGUACUUGUGCAUAUGUCAGGACUGAUGUGAUCUCUGCUGUACCAUUCUUCACAGUAGCUGAGAUGGAGAGUGGAAGAUAUUCCUUCAUGUGCUUCAAAGUACUGUAGCAGUAUGUAUGUUCUGCAUUCUCAGUUCAACGUUGUAACCCACCCUAUUCUACAGCAUGCCACUGCAUCUGAGUAAGCAUCAGUAUGAGCAAUGACUUGCCCAAAGCCAUAUUAAUAGAGGCAGAUGUGAAGGAGUGUGAGCUGUUCUGGCCACGCUGACACACCUUUGGAAUGUUCCAUUUCCCAUAAGUAAGAAGAAGCCAGUAAGAGACUGUAGUGAGCUGACUGCAUGGACAACAGAGUUGAGAGGGAACACUUGUGGAAGGAAAGCAAUAGAAAGUGUGAAGAACAAGAAAAAGCACAAGUUGGGAAGGAGGCACAAGAAGUGGCAAAACUGGAAAGAAAGGACCAAGGACUGCAAAAGAAACUUGGAGAAAUUGUGAUACAGAACAUCCUCCUGCUCCCGUAUGCACAUUUGUAGAAGAUUAACCAGCAUGAGGAGAACUUAAAGUCCAAUGAGUAGCUAAAGAGACAGGCUUAAACAGAAAGCAGAAAUGUUCUUUAAAAGAAAAUUAUCUGUCACGGUGAAACUGGUCAAAAGAAAAUAAAGUGGUCUCAUAUCA